CCUACGUGUGUCAGCAGUGAGGAAUAUUGGUCAAUGGUCGUAAGGCUGAACCAGCCAAGCCGCGUGAAGGAAGAAGGUUCUAUGGUUCGUACACCUCUUUUAUCGGGGAAUCAAGGUAUCAACGUGUGGCUAUAUGCAUGUACCCUAUGAAUAAGCAUCGCCUAACUCCGUGCCAGCAGCCGCGGUAAUACGGAGGAUGCGAGCGUUAUCCGGAUUUAUUGGUUUUAAGGGGUGCGUAGGGUGUUUUUUAAGCUAGCGGUGAAAGUUCGUGUCUCAAACAUAUAAUUGCCGGUGAAACUGGAAGUCGUGAGUGUGAUAGAGGUAGGCGGAAUGCGUGGUGUAGCGGUGAAAUGCAUAGAUAUCAAGCAGAACUCCGAUUGCGAAGGCAGCUUACUAGGACAUAACUGACGCUGAAGCACGAAAGCGUGGGGAUCAAACAGGAUUAGAUACCCGUGUAGUC
rnacentral:rRNA from 1 species